GUAAAGCGUGUGUAGGCGGACCUUUAAGUAGAAAGUGAAAGGUAGGAGCUCAACUCCUACAUUGCUCUCUAUACUGGAGGUCUUGAGUGUCGGAGAGGAAGAUGGAACUGCACGUGUAGCGGUGAAAUGCGUUGAGAUGUGCAGGAACACCAAUGGCGAAGGCAAUCUUCUGGACGAAAGCUGACGCUGAGACACGAAAGCCAAGGUAGCAAACAGGAUUAGAUACCCUGGUAGUCUUGGCCCUAAACUAUGUUCACUAGGUGUCGGGGGUUUCCCUCGGUGCCGCAGCUAACGCAUUAAGUGAACCGCCUGGGGACUACGGCCGCAAGGUUGAAACUCAAAGGAAUUGGCGGGGGCCCGCACAAGCGGUGGAGCAUGUGGCUUAAUUCGAUGCAACGCGAAGAACCUUACCAGGGCUUGACAUGCUACUGCAAGCUGCCGAAAAGCAGUCGCCUUCGAGGGUGUAGCACAGGUGGUGCAUGGCUGUCGUCAGCUCGUGUUGUGAAAUGUUGGGUUAAGUCCCGCAACGAGCGCAACCCUCAUGUUUUGUUACCAGCGGGUCAUGCCGGGAACUCGAAACAAACUGCCUCUGUAAGGAGGAGGAAGGUGGGGAUGACGUCAAGUCAUCAUGCCCCUUACGCCCUGGGCUGCACACAUGCUACAAUGGCCGGUACAAUGGGGUGCGAAACCGCGAGGUGGAGCAAAUCUCAAAAAGCCGGUCUCAGUUCGGAUUGGAGUCUGCAACUCGACUCCAUGAAGUUGGAAUCGCU
rnacentral:rRNA from 1 species